ensembl:lncRNA
CUUCAGUGGGUAGUAGUCGCCCAAGAAAAAAUUGUUCACAAUACUAAGGCCAUAGGUCAACUACGUUUAGACGUGGUAAAAGAUCAUUAUCCAAAACGAAUACAUUGUUGUUAGCCAGCUAGAUAUCGUUUUCUGUCUGCUACCCUUUCCACGUGCGAAUAAAUCCAGGGUGGAAAGAGAAACUUUAGCUUCACCACAAGGAAUUUGGCAAAGUUUCUAUAAAGUGUGAUGGACUUGAUUCUAUAGUGCUAUUGACUGCAUUGUCAUUGUUGCCAAACAAGCAGGACAACAUGAGUGGCGAGAAGGAGAGGUUGAUGGAGGAACUUGAACAGAGUUUAUUCCCCCUAUCUGAGGACAAUUUAAGAUAUCUGUGUGAACACUGUGGAAUAGAUGUCUCAGAAGUUAAAGGACAGAAACAUCGCUGGUUGAGGCGUAAAAUCAUUCAGGAAAUGUGGGGAAAUGCAGAUUCGGGAAAAUCGGAGGAGCAGGGAAUGUCUUGGUUAUUCCGACUGAAAGAGGACAUCAUGAAGAUGAAGGGAGAAGCUACUGUGGCACCAACGAGUCCCAGCCGUUCUUAUGGUGAUGAUGAAGCUACUAACUGUGAAGAAUGGGAUGUGGAGGACAAGGAUUGGUUUCCUAGCAAUGGGCUGGAGGCGGAGUCUUCCCCAGACAAGCCCACCCCAGAGCAAAGUGGCGUGUUUAUUGUCCCAGACGGUUCUUCUCUCCUAGAGUCCCCAGGUCGUGACUGUCCUGGUACAGCCUUACUGCUGGGUAUGAAGAGGGCGUCUGUUCGGCUGGUCGACUGCAGGAAAACAAUGGGGCUGAAUAAAACUGUGAAAGGAGAGGAGGAAGAAGAAGAGGAUGGUGAAGAAGAUUCAGAUUCAGUAUCCUCAAGUAAGAACAGCUGUUUGUGUGUGGGUGUGGAUUCAACUACAAACUGAUUCUGAAACCAUUUAGUGACUGAUCAAUUAUUUUUUGCACAAUAUUUGCAAAAUGUAGCUAUUCCAUGUACAGAUGCAAAUCCAUGACUGAUGGGGAUGGUAUUUCACCACUAGGUUAUUGUUAAUACUUCAAUACAUUUUAAUUGCAUGUCUUUAUUUGACAGAUGACAGCCCUAACGAUCACUCGUUUAGUGGGAGGGGCAUAUCUUCUGGGAAGGUUUCAGGGUUGAAGGGAAUCCAGCGACUUCAUAGCUGUGAUCUGUGUGGAAAGAGCUUUUCUCGCCUGGGAACCCUGACCAGACACAAGCGUAUUCACACCGGAGAAAAACCUUACACAUGUGAGCAAUGUGGGAGGAGCUUUAGCUUAUCUAAAACCCUGACUGACCACAAGCGAACACAUACCGGAGAGAAGCCCUACGGCUGUGAUCUGUGUGGCAAAAGCUUUUCUCGUCAGGGAACCCUGUCCGCGCACAGGCAUGUACACACUCUGGCUGAAUACGAAGAAACAAACACUCCAGAGAAACCUUACAGCUGUGACAGGCUCUACCUCUGCUCGGAGUGUGGGAAGAGCUUUUAUACUCUCUCAAGUUUUAAAUGUCACGAGCGAACACACACUGGAGAGAAACCAUACAGCUGUGAUCAGUGUGGGAAGAGUUUUUCUCGUUCGGGAGCCCUGAUUAUUCACAAGCGUAUUCACACUGGAGAGAAACCUUACAUGUGUGAUAUGUGUGGGAAGAGCUGCAAAGAUGUCACAGCUCUGAAGGAACAUGUGCGUAUACACACAGGAGAUAAACCUUUCAGCUGCUAUAUCUGUGACAUGCGUUUUGUUCAAAAAAGCAGCAUGAAUGUACAUUUGCGCAGACACACUGGAGAGAAACCUUACAGCUGUGAUCUAUGCAGGAAAAGAUUUACUCAGAAAGGAAGUCUUAAUGCACACAAAAGAACGCAUACUGGAAACAAACCUUUCCAGUGUGAUAAAUGUGGGGAGAGAUUCACUCGACCAGGAAGUGUCAAACGACAUCAGAGGACCCACACAGGCGGCAAAAGAAUCAAGGCAAGUGAAGGAGGAAGUCAAACAGACAGAGAAGUGAAUCACGUAACACCUCCGUCCUCUAAGGCAUCAGUUUUUCAGGAUCCCUCGGUAGAUUAAAAUACACUACUAUGUAUUCUAUAUAGUGUAUUGCAUGGAGCUGGUGCAAUAUGAAGCAAAACCGACUAGUAUGUUUUCUGCAUAUAUUUUAAUGCAUUGAGGGGUUCAAAUAAGAAGUGCUGCUGGAGAAUUUUAUCCACCUUCACAGCUUAAUAUUUGGUAUUUAGAGUGGUGCACUCACGCUAUGAUGCCUAAAUAACACUGAUUAUAAAGCUUUUUUGUGUUGUGCCGUUUAAAACUGAAUAAAACAAGCUUUUACAGGUGGAUUGGAACUUUUGACCAACAUUGACAUGACAAAUUUGAUGUGAUUCUAAUAGACCAAUGACUGUUCAUUUCACUACGGAGUGGCUCUGGUCGACCAACCAGUGCUGUGCAAUGUUUUUCUUUGGGUUUUUUCACACUGAACAUUUCAAAGAAUAUUAAAUGUUAAAAUCAUUUAUUAGCACAGUAAUUUAUUAGACCUGAACUACAUCUUUAAAAGUAAAGAUACAGGAUGGGGAAUUUUGUUAAUCUUCCUUUUGCCCUCAUGAGCUCUUAUAGUGUUUAGAGUUUUUCCUGAUUCUUUGUUCAGCCUUAUUCUCAACAUUGCUUUGAUAGUUGUAUUUGUCAUUAUUCAUCUUUAAAUCUUUAUAUUUUUAUAUUAUAA